CGAGUAAGUUGGAUGGUCGCGUGUGGUAACACAUGAGGAAAGUCCGUGCUCCAUAGGGCAGGAUGCUGGAUAACGUCCAGUGGGGGUGACCCUAAGGAUAGUGCAACAGAGAUAUACCGCCAGAACUCUUUCUCGGCAUUUGCUUGGACUGUAGUGAAAUAAUCCAUGGAGAUUAUCUGGUAAGGGUGGAAAGGCGAGGUAAGAGCUCACCAGCAUUUAGGUGACUAAAUGGCUCUGUAAACCCCAUCUGGAGCAAGACCAAAAAGGAACAUAAAAGGUGGUAGCCCGCUGCCGUUCCAAUGGUAGGUCGCAGGAACCUAUCGGUAACGAUAGGUCUUAGAUAGAUGACCAUUUAAACAGAACACGGCUUAUAUGAUUUACUCGUUUU
rnacentral:RNase_P_RNA from 1 species